GAGAAAUCAGACGUACCAGUGAAGGACAGAAAAGACGCCUUGUUUCUAAUCUUCAAAAGAAAAAUAAAGUUAUCAACAGGGAAGAAGAUGGUGUCUCCAUGGUGGCUGAUCAGCUUACUGCUUGCACUAGGAGGGGCUCCUCAGGCCACCCAAGCCAACAGUACUUUGAGGCCUCAGACUGCAACUCCAACCAAUCACACCCAUAAUACCCCUCCAAACAGCAGUCCUGCCCUCAGGGUGAUGGACAGCCUUCCAUUUCUUUUCUUCCUGGUGCCUUUCCCGCUCCUUUGUGGAUUAGAGAAAUGAACUUUCUGAAUUUGGUCCUUUCAUUGUCAUUUCUACAAAAUGGAAAGCAUUCAUCUCUACUUCACCUCAAUCACUGAAGAAUUACCACCACCAUACUUUAAUUAAUGUACUUUUAAUAUCUUGGUUGUUUCUGGAAGUUAAGUAACUUGAUAGCUUGUACAGAGUGUUUACUCCAUAAAUGCUAAGUGAAUGGAUGGGAAAAUCUCUUCUUUUUUUUCAAUUUCCUCAUGGUUUUCCAUUAAAAAGCAAUCACAAACCAGA